AGGGGAGCGGAGCGCGGCGCGCGGCUGUCAUUGCGCGCCCAAGCCCGAGGGGCAGGGGACGCGCAGGGGCAGAAGGGGACAGAGUCCUGCGGACCUGGGGGCGGGGAGUGGGGCGAAUCCGAAACCUAGGAUCGCAGCGCCCCUCGGGGCUUCUCCGGCGCCCAGGAGGCAACAGAAAUCCCCUCUCUGAAGGGAGAUGGGGGUUGGGGAAGGAGAAUGGGGACAACGGUAGGACGUUUUUCAAUCUCCCUUGAGAGGACUGCGUGGCGCAGACUGUGCCUGCGAUUUGAUGCCUCCCUGGAUCUGGUGCAGGGGUGAGGGAAGCUUGGUGAAAGUCCGUUUAGGCUGAAGCUGAAACGCUAGUGUGAAGCUGCCUCUGAGAAUGGGGGGUCUUGGCAUAAAUCUGUAAUUAGGAGCCUUGCAUGAGCCAGUGGGUGGUUCUAAUUAAAGGUCUCUGCUAUUUUCUUUU